rnacentral:rRNA from 1 species
UGAUCUGCCCUGUACUUCGGGAUAAGCCUGGGAAACUGGGUCUAAUACCGGAUAUGACCUUACAUCGCAUGGUGUUUGGUGGAAAGAUUUAUCGGUACAGGAUGGGCCCGCGGCCUAUCAGCUUGUUGGUGGGGUAAUGGCCUACCAAGGCGACGACGGGUAGCCGGCCUGAGAGGGCGACCGGCCACACUGGGACUGAGACACGGCCCAGACUCCUACGGGAGGCAGCAGUGGGGAAUAUUGCACAAUGGGCGAAAGCCUGAUGCAGCGACGCCGCGUGAGGGAUGACGGCCUUCGGGUUGUAAACCUCUUUCGACAGGGACGAAGCGCAAGUGACGGUACCUGUAGAAGAAGCACCGGCCAACUACGUGCCAGCAGCCGCGGUAAUACGUAGGGUGCGAGCGUUGUCCGGAAUUACUGGGCGUAAAGAGCUUGUAGGCGGUUUGUCGCGUCGUCCGUGAAAACUUGGGGCUCAACCCCAAGCUUGCGGGCGAUACGGGCAGACUUGAGUACUGCAGGGGAGACUGGAAUUCCUGGUGUAGCGGUGAAAUGCGCAGAUAUCAGGAGGAACACCGGUGGCGAAGGCGGGUCUCUGGGCAGUAACUGACGCUGAGAAGCGAAAGCGUGGGUAGCGAACAGGAUUAGAUACCCUGGUAGUCCACGCCGUAAACGGUGGGCGCURGGUGUGGGUUUCCUUCCACGGGAUCCGU